ACUAUGCUUUAAGAAUUGGGGCUGAUGAAAUUUUAAAACCCUUACCAGGUACCAAGCUACUGCUGUGAGGGAAAUCCCCAGUUCCAAGCCUAGUUUUGGAUACAGAGAACUCUCCACAUCUGGCUCUUAGCCUGACAGAGGCGAGUCACUAGGAUGCAGUAUUGUCAUAUGGAUCACAGGGCCCUCCAGCCCUCCCAGGUUCUAGGAAGGCAUGGAAUCAUU